rnacentral:rRNA from 1 species
GAUGAACGCUGGCGGCGUGCCUAACACAUGCAAGUCGAACGAAGCACCUUACCUGAUUCUUCGUAUGAAAGUUUGGUGACUGAGUGGCGGACGGGUGAGUAACGCGUGGGUAACCUGCACUGUACAGGGAGGUAACCGCUGGCAUCGGCUGCUAAUACCGCAUCAGCGCACGAGGAGAAAUCUUCUUGUCUGUAAAAGUCCGGUGGGACGGGAUGGGCCCGCGUCUGAUUAGCUGGUUGGCCGGGUAACGGCCUACCAAGGCAACGAUCAGUGGCCGGUCGGAGAGAAUGAACAGACACAUUGGAACUGAGACACGGUCCACACUCGUACGGGAGGAGGCGGUGGUGAAUAUUGCAGAAUGGGGGAUACCCUGAUGCAGCAACGCGGCGUGAGUGAAGAUGUAUGGCGGUAAGUGAAGCUCCAUCAGCAGGGAAGAUAAUGACGGUACCUGACGAAGAAGCUCCGGCUAAAUACGUG